CCAGGCAGGUGACAGAGACCGCCCCCGUGUAGACUGUGCUGCUCACGCAGCCCCGCGGGACCUGGGACAGGCCCCAGACCCAACACCAAGAGCACAGACCCAGAGGAAAUGCCCUCUGCAAGCUCUGCGCCCCCUGGCGGAGGGAUCCUGCCAUGCGCGGAGGCGCUGCCUUAGAAAGACGAGCACCGGGCCUCGCACAGGGAGUCACGGACCUAGAGCAGGAGGAGCCCUUGCCCUUGGCGGCAGCACGGACACCGGGAGAGCGUUACGCUGAGGGCAAUACGCCCGUCAGAGAAGGACACGUGCCACAGGGUCACGCACAGCCGGAGUGGAGAGAACAAAUGUGCACAUUUGAAGAACAGGCUGACCUCCAACUUACACCCACGUCUGCAGGU